AAGUCAUAAUAGCUCAAUGGUAGAGCUAUGCACUGUUAAUGCAUUGAUCUUAGUUCGAUUCUAAGUUAUGACGAUAGAAUGUA
rnacentral:tRNA from 1 species